rnacentral:rRNA from 1 species
UGGGGAAUUUUGGACAAUGGGCGAAAGCCUGAUCCAGCAAUGCCGCGUGUGUGAAGAAGGCCUUCGGGUUGUAAAGCACUUUUGUCCGGAAAGAAAUCCUUGGCUCUAAUACAGUCGGGGGAUGACGGUACCGGAAGAAUAAGCACCGGCUAACUACGUGCCAGCAGCCGCGGUAAUACGUAGGGUGCAAGCGUUAAUCGGAAUUACUGGGCGUAAAGCGUGCGCAGGCGGUUUGCUAAGACCGAUGUGAAAUCCCCGGGCUCAACCUGGGAACUGCAUUGGUGACUGGCAGGCUAGAGUAUGGCAGAGGGGGGUAGAAUUCCACGUGUAGCAGUGAAAUGCGUAGAGAUGUGGAGGAAUACCGAUGGCGAAGGCAGCCCCCUGGGGCCAAUACUGACGCUCAUGCACGAAAGCGUGGGGAGCAAACAGGAUUAGAUACCCUGGUAGUCCACGCCCUAAAACGAUGUCAACUAGUUGUUGGGGAUUCAUUUCCUUAGUAACGUAGCUAACGCGUGAAGUUGACCGCCUGGGGAGUACGGUCGCAAGAUUAAAACUCAAAUGAAUUGAC